rnacentral:lncRNA from 1 species
AUGGUAACGAAACACAAGUGGCUACAAUCCUACAAUCCAGUAUUACGGGUGCCCAGGGGCAGUAACAAUCUGCCAGGGGUGAGGUCCCAAAAGACUUUCCAGAGAGGGUGCAGCCCAGCUAAACCCCGAGGACGAACAGGAGCUGUCCAGGCAGAAAGGAGGGGAGAAAAGACCCUCUUUGCCGAGAGAGAGACCCGCAUGAAGAGGCUGAGGCCGGGAGUGCAGGGUACGAAGGGCUUCGGUUUCCUCAUCUGUGAAACGGACAUGAAAGCAAUGUAUCUCAUUGGGAGGCAACAAGAAGCAAACAAAAUCUACCCAGUCCACAAACAACAGCCAUCAUCAUUACUGGGUCCUGUUCUUGAGCGUAACCGAAUGACCUGGGACCCUGGGCAGACCAGCUUGUUUCAUAUCCCUAGCAUCUGCACUGUGGCUCCUUCUACCAAGAAAACCCUUCCUGCCUUGUCACUUUGGCAAACACCUGGCCUUCUUCCCUUCUUCCAGCAAUGUCCUCUCCUCUGUUCACAAGGUUUCAAGUCCCUUCCUCCCUCUUCUGGACCCCAGUGGCACUGAGCAAACCCCAGGUGAACUCAGGAAGAAGCCAAGGCUUGUCCAUCAUCAUUUCCCAGCACCCAGCUCAGGGCCCGGCACGCCGUCGAUCACAGCAAAGCGCUGCUCAGCAGAGAGAGCAAGAAGCCCAGACCAACUUCAAGUACUCCUCUUUUUCAGAUGAGGCUCAGAGUUAAGGGACUUACCUGAGGUCCCUCACCUAGCAGGUGAUGGACAUGGCGCCGUAACCUGAAGUCACAAGGCUGCAAGCCUAAAUCCCCAGUGAGGGAGGGGAGGAGGCCUCGGAUGCCCCCAGAGGUGUGGGCUUACUGAGCAAUAUCUGGGUGAUUCAGGGGACCCCAGACAGAGGCCCUGCCUGGCUGUCUCCGGUCCCGGGGUCUCUGGCCUGGGUGCCACCCUCAUGAAACCCCAUGCCUGUAAGAGCUGAUGCACGAUGUUUCUAGAAAGGGAUGGGCAGCCCUGGAGAAAGGACUGAGAGUGAAGAAACCAUAGGAGAGCCUCCUCCUCAAAGCCAAGGUCCUGGGAAGACAGGGUCCAUGUGCCCCUCUGGCCUGACUGUUGCACAGGCAGGUGGGAAGAACACAGCUCCCCAGCCACAAAGACAGCUGCUAAUCCGGCUCUGCCGGCCGCUUGCUCUGACCUUGGGUCUGUCACGUCACUUCUCUGACCCUCGGUUUUCUCAUCUGUGUCAAGGCCAGGUCUGUCUUGUUCAUAACUGCACUGUUGCUUGGCACAGUACUUGUCACAUGAUGAGUACUCAAUAAAUAUUUGCUGAAUGAAUGAAUAAAUGAAUGAAUGAAAGGGGACAAUGACGCUGACCUUGCAGUAUCCCGAGUCAAAGACCUUGUCUAAAAAGUCUGGCAAAAGAAGGGCCCUUGGGCCUCACCCACUCUUCUUGCUGUUCCUCAGGGAGCACUGUUCCUAGGGCAGCUGCCCUAGACCACCGUGCCCCCUCCCCAGAGGUCAGAGAUGGAUUCCAAAAGGCAUUCGUCCUUCUCGCCCAGGCAGCUCUGUCUUGAGAAGUGGGGCUCAGGGAAGCAUCUGGAGAAGCCAGGCAGCAGAUGGACAAAGACAGCACGUGCCCCAUGGGCAGGAAGCAGCCCCAGGAGCUGGGUUCAGAGCCCAGCCCUGGCAGCCCUGCACGCUGCUGGAGGCUGGGGGCCAGGUGCCAGGAUUGGCUGGCACCACCAGCCCUCUGAAAAGGCUGGACAGAGGCCCUGUGGAACAAAGAGAGUCUGCCAACAUCCGGAGCCUCUCCUGUAGUCCCUUCCACCUGGGCCAGUUUGAUCCCAGCCCUUCCCCAUCCUUGAGCCCUGACCCCACAACUUGUUAGAAGACAGUGAGAGCUCUGGACUCUGAUCCUGUCUCAAACAUGAAUUCAUAGGCCAGUUCUCCCAAGUUCAGCUGUCCCAUCCAAAAAUGGGGGUAAUCCCCUUUUUUUAAAAAAAAGAAAAGAGGUUCCCCCCUAACAUGGGGCUUGAACUUACAACAUUGAGAUCAAGAGCCACACGCUUUACUGAGUCAGCCAGGCACCCCAAUGAUCCCUACUUUGAGAUGAUGUUUAGAGAAUUAUUUUAACAAGGUAACAGAGGCAAAGCAGGGACGGUGGCACACAGUGAAGCUCUGUACAGGGCAGGGCUGGGCCCCUGGAGAACGUUCCUGCUUUCAGCAGGGCCAGGGAAGGCCCAGGGCGGAAUCCGCACCCACAUGGCCACCUGGGCCAGGCCCUGCCUCCCAGCAGCCCAUUUUCGGCAGCGUCAUGAGGAGGGCAGGGCCGUCCAGACCUCAGGCCUCUGCCAAAUGCCCCCAGCAGCCCCUUGCCCGCCUCUUUCCCAGCCAGGAGGCAGUGGCAGCGCCUGUACCUGUGGGUCAGGCUGCUGUAUCACUUACAUGUCACCUGGGCUAAGAACAGCAAGGCCCUGUUCUCCAGUGAGAGCGGCCCAACCAGCGCCCCGGCUGCCCCGUGGCUCCUGUUACCCAAACAAUAACACCCAGACGCCUGGCACUUCCAUGCAGUGGGGGAGGGGGAGAACAGGCAGCAGCGCCCAGGGCUCUGCACCUCUCAGUCCCAGGAAGCAUGAAGCUACGACCCAGCACUGGCCGCUGGAGGAACAGAGGGGCAGAGAGGCUAAGGACCGGCUGAGGGUCACACAGUGUUUCCAAGGUGAAGCUCAGAAAUCACGAUGCCCCCAGUCCUAGGAAAUACACUAGUCUUCUCCUCUCACAGAACUCAGAUGCAGUUGUACUCAAAACUGAGUCGAGUUUCCUGUUUAAACCUGGUCCCCUGCCCCAGGAUUCCCCAAAGGGAAGCAGGAAGUAGUGCCCUGCACUGGGAAUUGAGCUCCUGGGUGUCUGCCCUUCCUGUGAGCAUAACCCAAGGUAAGUCCCUAGGUUAAGUACUUCCCCGCCUCCCUUCCUCUAGGGAGGCCCAAGUCACAGGGGCAUGCCAGGGCAAAGGCAUCCAUCUCUGAGCGCCCCCCCAACCAAGCCCUGAUGCCCCAGGCCUUGUGGGGGGGGGGGUACUGCAGAGGGCAGUGUUCCUCACCUCAGAGGGUGAGUCAGCGAGAGAACCUCCUAGAGCCGUGCAGGGCCUGUAAAAACCCCAUGGCAGGGAUCCCAGAGCAAUUUACUCCAAAUUGCACCUUCAGGUUGGUUACCUAAUCCUGCCGCGCCCACCAUCCAAUAGCCAGUGUCAGCUACGACCAUCCCUUUAAAGGGGUAGCACACCCUGGGUGCUGGGGACCUGGGGUCUUCACUCUAAGCACAACCUGUGGCCCUGGGAGGCAGGGUACUUGGUGGUUGCCCCAGGUAAGAGGAGGCAGAGGAGGGGAGCUAGGCUAGGGACCAAAGCCAAGAGAAAAUCACCUUGGCUCCCCUGCUCACUGAGGUCUUCACACCCUCCCAGUAUACCCCCACAUCCCCUCUGGAAAUGGAGUUUCAUCUGCUUCCUUCCCAGCAUGAGGCUGAGAGGAAAGUUUUCUUAAUCUGCUGGUUCAGGGCCUUGACCUUGACCCUGGGGGUCAAAGGGCACAGGAAGAGCUGCCCUUCUGCAUCCUAGGGCUUGGCACCACAGAAUCCUCGGAGGAGAGCAGAAGCUGCUUCUGGGAGAGGCUAGGUGACAGAGGCCAAAAACCCCAGGGGCCCAGCCCUUCCUAUGGGAGGGCUCACAAGGAAAAAGGCAGGCACCAAGGUCCUCCAUGUCUCCUGGAAUAAUCCUCACAAGGUCUAAGGGUUUUUCCCCACUGUCUUCUCCACAGCUUGGGGUAGGGGACACAUGUG